GCAGACACAUUCCAGCCAAUCAGCAGCAGACCCUCCCUCCCUGACCCUACCACCUCACCUCACAGCUCACUAAGAAUGCAGCUUCAAACUGGAUGCUGUCCAGGAGGUGGGAGGGUGUGGGAGGGAGGGUCUGCUGCUGAUUGGCUGGAAUGUGUCUG